rnacentral:rRNA from 1 species
UACGUAGGUCCCGAGCGUUAUCCGGAGUUACUGGGCGUAAAGAGUCUGUAGCCGGAAUAGUAAGUCUAUUUUUAAAUAUCUCGACUCAAUCGGGAAAAAGGGAUGGAUACUGCUAUACUAGAGAAUUAUAGGGGAUGAUGGAAUUUCCAGUGGAGCGGUGAAAUGCGUUGAUAUUGGAAGGAACGCCGAAAGCGAAAGCAGUCAUCUAUAUAUAUUCUGACGGUGAGAGACGAAAGUCUAGGUAGCAAACGGG